rnacentral:rRNA from 1 species
CAGCAGCCGCGGUAAUACGAAGGGGGCUAGCGUUGCUCAGAAUCACUGGGCGUAAAGGGUGCGUAGGCGGGUCUUUAAGUCAGGGGUGAAAUCCUGGAGCUCAACUCCAGAACUGCCUUUGAUACUGAAGAUCUUGAGUUCGGGAGAGGUGAGUGGAACUGCGAGUGUAGAGGUGAAAUUCGUAGAUAUUCGCAAGAACACCAGUGGCGAAGGCGGCUCACUGGCCCGAUACUGACGCUGAGGCACGAAAGCGUGGGGAGCAAACAGGAUUAGAUACCCCAGUAGUCCCUGUCUCUUAUAC